ACUCCUACGGGAGGCAGCAGUGGGGAAUAUUGCACAAUGGGGGAAACCCUGAUGCAGCCAUGCCGCGUGUGUGAAGAAGGCCUUCGGUUGUAAAGCACUUUCAGUAGGGAGGAAGGUAGUGUAGUUAACACCUGCAUUAUUUGUACGUUACCUACAGAAGAAGCACCGGCUAACUCCGUGCCAGCAGCCGCGGUAAUACGGAGGGUGCGAGCGUUAAUCGGAAUUACUGGGCGUAAAGCGCAUGCAGGCGGCCUGUUAAGUCAGAUGUGAAAGCCCGGGGCUUAACCUCGGAAUUGCAUUUGAAACUGGCAGGCUAGAGUCUUGUAGAGGGGUUAGGAAUUUCAGGUGUAGCGGUGAAAUGCGUAGAGAUCUGAAGG
rnacentral:rRNA from 1 species